rnacentral:rRNA from 1 species
UACGGAGGGUGCGAGCGUUAAUCGGAAUGACUGGGCGUAAAGGGCAUGUAGGCGGAUAGAUAAGUUAGAUGUGAAAUCCCUGAGCUUAACUUAGGAACUGCAUUUAAAACUGUUUAUCUAGAGUAUUGUAGAGGAAGGUAGAAUUCCAUGUGUAGCGGUGAAAUGCGUAGAGAUGUGGAGGAAUACCGGUGGCGAAGGCGGCCUUCUGGACAGAUACUGACGCUGAGGUGCGAAAGCGUGGGGAGCAAACAGG